UACAGAGGUGGCAAGCGUUGUUCGGAAUUACUGGGCGUAAAGCGUGCGUAGACGGUUGCGUAAGUCAGAUGUGAAAGCCCCGGGCUCAACCUGGGAAUUGCAUUUGAGACUGCGUAGCUAGGGUGCGGAAGAGGGAAGCGGAAUUUCCGGUGUAGCGGUGAAAUGCGUAGAUAUCGGAAGGAACACCAGUGGCGAAAGCGGCUUCCUGGUCCAGCACCGACGUUCAGGCACGAAAGCGUGGGGAGCAAACAGG
rnacentral:rRNA from 1 species